AGAGUUUGAUCAUGGCUCAGGAUGAACGCUAGCGGCAGGCCUAAUACAUGCAAGUCGAACGGGUCGCAAGACUAGUGGCGCACGGGUGCGUAACACGUAGGUAACCUACCUUUUACUGGGGCAUAACGAUGGGAAACCAUCGCUAAUUCCGCAUGAGACAGUAGCCUGGCAUCAGGCAGUUGUUAAAGAUUUAUUGGUAAAAGAUGGGCCUGCGGCUGAUUAGCUAGUUGGUGGUGUAACGGACCACCAAGGCCAUGAUCAGUAGGGGUUCUGAGAGGAAGAUCCCCCACACUGGCACUGAGAUACGGGCCAGACUCCUACGGGAGGCAGCAGUAGGGAAUAUUGGGCAAUGGCGGAAACGCUGACCCAGCCAUGCCGCGUGCAGGAAGAAGGCGCUCAGCGUUGUAAACUGCUUUUGCCAGGGAAGAAUGAGCUCUACGGGUAGAGUCAGUGACGGUACCUGGUGAAUAAGCACCGGCUAACUCCGUGCCAGCAGCCGCGGUAAUACGGAGGGUGCAAGCGUUGUCCGGAUUUAUUGGGUUUAAAGGGUGCGUAGGUGGCUUGUUAAGUCUGGGGUGAAAGGCAGUGGCUCAACCACUCGCAGGGCCCUGGAUACUGGCAGGCUCGAGUGCGCGUGAGGCCGGUGGAACGGGGUGGUGUAGCGGUGAAAUGCAUAGAUACCAUCCAGAACACCGAUUGCGGAGGCAGCCGGCUAACGCGCAACUGACACUGAGGCACGAAAGCGUGGGGAGCAAACAGGAUUAGAUACCCUAGUAGUCC
rnacentral:rRNA from 1 species